rnacentral:rRNA from 1 species
GAUGAACGCUGGCGGCGUGCCUAAUACAUGCAAGUCGAGCGAACGGACGAGAAGCUUGCUUCUCUGAUGUUAGCGGCGGACGGGUGAGUAACACGUGGAUAACCUACCUAUAAGACUGGGAUAACUUCGGGAAACCGGAGCUAAUACCGGAUAAUAUUUUGAACCGCAUGGUUCAAAAGUGAAAGACGGUCUUGCUGUCACUUAUAGAUGGAUCCGCGCUGCAUUAGCUAGUUGGUAAGGUAACGGCUUACCAAGGCAACGAUGCAUAGCCGACCUGAGAGGGUGAUCGGCCACACUGGAACUGAGACACGGUCCAGACUCCUACGGGAGGCAGCAGUAGGGAAUCUUGCGCAAUGGGCGAAAGCCUGACGGAGCAACGCCGCGUGAGUGAUGAAGGUCUUCGGAUCGUAAAACUCUGUUAUUAGGGAAGAACAUAUGUGUAAGAAACUGUGCACAUCUUGACGGUACCUAAUCAGAAAGCCACGGCUAACUACGUG